UACGAAGGGGGCUAGCGUUGCUCGGAUUUACUGGGCGUAAAGCGCACGUAGGCGGAUCGUUAAAGUGAGGGGUGAAAUCCCAGGGCUCAACCCUGGAACUGCCUUUUCAUACUGGCGAUCUUGAGUCCGGAAGAGGUGAGUGGAACUCCUAGUGUAGAGGUGGAAUUCGUAGAUAUUAGGAAGAACACCAGUGGCGAAGGCGGCUCACUGGUCCGGUACUGGACGCUGAGGUGCGGAAAGCGAGGGGAGCGAGAGGA
rnacentral:rRNA from 1 species